ACGCUGGCGGCAGGCCUAACACAUGCAAGUCGAACGGUAGCACAGAGAGCUUGCUCUCGGGUGACGAGUGGCGGACGGGUGAGUAAUGUCUGGGAAACUGCCUGAUGGAGGGGGAUAACUACUGGAAACGGUAGCUAAUACCGCAUAACGUCGCAAGACCAAAGAGGGGGACCUUCGGGCCUCUUGCCAUCAGAUGUGCCCAGAUGGGAUUAGCUAGUAGGUGGGGUAACGGCUCACCUAGGCGACGAUCCCUAGCUGGUCUGAGAGGAUGACCAGCCACACUGGAACUGAGACACGGUCCAGACUCCUACGGGAGGCAGCAGUGGGGAAUAUUGCACAAUGGGCGCAAGCCUGAUGCAGCCAUGCCGCGUGUAUGAAGAAGGCCUUCGGGUUGUAAAGUACUUUCAGCGGGGAGGAAGGCGGUGAGGUUAAUAACCUCAUCGAUUGACGU
rnacentral:rRNA from 1 species